ACUGCUCAGUAACACGUGGAUAACCUGCCCUGCGGUGGGAAAUAACCCCGGGAAACUGGGGAUAAUGUCCCAUAGGCUACGGAUGCUGGAAUGCUCUGUAGCUCAAAGAUUUAUCGCCACAGGAUGGGUCUGCGGCCGAUUAGGUAGUUGUUGGGGUAACGGCCCAACAAGCCUUUGAUCGGUACGGGUUGUGGGAGCAAGAGCCCGGAGAUGGAUUCUGAGACACGAAUCCAGGCCCUACGGGGCGCAGCAGGCGCGAAAACUUUACCAUGCGGGCAACCGUGAUAAGGAAACCCCGAGUGCCAGCACAGGCUGGCUGUCCGCCAGUUUAAACAACUGGCGAAGAAAGGGCCGGGCAAGACCGGUGCCAGCCGCCGCGGUAAUACCGGCGGCUCGAGUGGUGGCCGCUAUUACUGGGCUUAAAGGGUCCGUAGCUUGAUAAUAGGGUCCCUUGAGAAAUCCGCCGGCUUAACUGGCGGGCGUUCAGGGGAAACUUGUUUUCUAGGGACCGGGAGAGGUGAGGGGUACUGCCGGGGUAGGAGUGAAAUCCUGUAAUCCCGGUGGGACCACCUAUGGCGAAGGCAUCUCACCAGAACGGGUCCGACAGUGAGGGACGAAAGCUGGGGGAGCAAACCGGAUUAGAUACCCGGGUAGUCCCAGCUGUAAACUAUGUGCGUUAGGUGUGUCAGUGACCACGUGUCACUGAGGUGCCGAAGGGAAACCGUGAAACGCACCGCCUGGGGGAGUACGGUCGCAAGGCUGAAACUUAAAGGAAUUGGCGGGGGAGCAC
rnacentral:rRNA from 1 species